AGAAGAACGAACGACGAAGAAGAAAUGGAAGAACAAUAUCGAAGCGUGAAUCCAACCCCCCCUUGUUCAACCCCCACCACCAAGCACAUUCGAAGGAGGGUUUCUAUUUUGUUGUGGCUGUUGAUUGAGAAUAAGGGCUCAUGAUGACCGUGGUCCACAACCAAUGCUUACAAAUAAUAUUCUACAGCCCUUGAUCCCGCUUUUCCUAGAUAUGCAGAAGCUAGAGAUCAAAUAGCUAACUGGACUUUGGAUGAUGCAGUCAAAGAAUUGGCUCUAGUUAUGAAAGCAAUUGUUAAAAGACUUUGCUUGAGUGAACCCGAUGGAAAUGGCUCUUUCUCAGUUGUGAUGGUUGGUGGUGUGCUUGAAGCUAAUAAGAAGUGGGAUAUAAGUAAAGAAGUUAUUGCUUGUAUCCAGAAGACCUAUCCCAAGGCUAGUCCAAUUAGACCAAAGGUGGAGUCUGCUUUGGGGCUGCAUUGCUUGCUUGGAACUCUUUGAUGACCCUGGAUUAGUUAGCAGUGUACAAUUGUAAAGUUCGACAUACAACACCUUGUAC